rnacentral:rRNA from 1 species
GGAAGGAUCAUUACUGAAUUGUCAAACGGGCUGUUGCUGGUCCUCAAAUGGGGACAUGUGCACGCUCUGUUUACACAUCCACUCACACCUGUGCACCCUCUGUAGUUCUACGGUAUGGGGGACCCCGUCUUCCUUCCGUGGUUCUAUGUCUUUACACACACACUGUAAUAAAGUCUUAUGGAAUGUAUGCCGCGUCUAACGCAAUACAAUACAACUUUCAGCAACGGAUCUCUUGGCUCUCGCAUCGAUGAAGAACGCAGCGAAAUGCGAUAAGUAAUGUGAAUUGCAGAAUUCAGUGAAUCAUCGAAUCUUUGAACGCACCUUGCGCCCCUUGGCUAUUCCGAGGGGCAUGCCUGUUUGAGUAUCAUGAACACCUCAACUCUCAUGGUUUGCCGUGAUGAGCUUGGACCUUGGGGGUUUUGCUGGCCUGUGGUCAGCUCCUCUCAAAUGAAUCAGCCUCCCAGUGUUUGGUGGCGUCACGAGUGUGAUAACUAUCUACGCUCGCGGUUGUCCACCAGGUAACCUUUGGUGACAAAGGUUCGCUGGAGCUCAUAGAUGUCUCUCCUCAGCGAGGACAGCUUUUUAACGUUCGAUCUC